rnacentral:rRNA from 1 species
GACGUAGGAGGCGAGCGUUAUCCGGAUUCACUGGGCGUAAAGCGCAUGUAGGCGGUUCUGCAAGUCAUGUGUGUAAGCCCCCGGCUCAACCGGGGGAGGUCAUGUGAGACUGCAAGACUUGAGGGCAGUAGAGGCACGUGGAACUCCCGGUGUAGCGGUGGAAUGCGUAGAGAUCGGAAGAACGACCCGUGGCGCAAGGCGAACGUGCUGGGCUGUUUCUGACGCUGAGAUGCGAAAGUGUGGGGAGCAAACGGG